CCUACGGGUGGCUGCAGUGGGGAAUAUUGGACAAUGGGGGCAACCCUGAUCCAGCCAUGCCGCGUGUGUGAAGAAGGCCCUCGGGUUGUAAAGCACUUUCAGUGAGGAAGAACGCCUGGUGGUUAAUACCCAUCAGGAAAGACAUCACUCACAGAAGAAGCACCGGCUAACUCCGUGCCAGCAGCCGCGGUAAUACGGAGGGUGCGAGCGUUAAUCGGAAUUACUGGGCGUAAAGCGCGCGUAGGUGGCUUGAUAAGCCGGUUGUGAAAGCCCCGGGCUCAACCUGGGAACGGCAUCCGGAACUGUCAAGCUAGAGUGCAGGAGAGGAAGGUAGAAUUCCCGGUGUAGCGGUGAAAUGCGUAGAGAUCGGGAGGAAUACCAGUGGCGAAGGCGGCCUUCUGGACUGACACUGACACUGAGGUGCGAAAGCGUGGGUAGCAAACAGGAUUAGAUACCCUAGUGUC
rnacentral:rRNA from 1 species